rnacentral:rRNA from 1 species
AACGCGUGGCGGCGUGACUUAACACAUGACAAGUCGACGAAGCACUUACGACAGAUUCCUUCGGGAUGAAGAUGUUGUGACUGAGUGGCGGACGGGUGAGUAACGCGUGGGAAACCUGCCCUACACAGGGGGAUAACAGUUGGAAACGGCUGCUAAUACCGCAUAAGCGCACAGUAUCGCAUGGUACAGUGUGAAAAACUCCGGUGGUGUAGGAUGGUCCCGCGUCUGAUUAGCUAGUUGGUGAGGUAACGGCCCACCAAGGCGACGAUCAGUAGCCGACCUGAGAGGGUGACCGGCCACAUUGGGACUGAGACACGGCCCAAACUCCUACGGGAGGCAGCAGUGGGGAAUAUUGCACAAUGGGCGAAAGCCUGAUGCAGCGAACCGCCGCGUGAGCGAUGAAGUAUUUCGGUAUGUAAAGCUCUAUCAGCAGGGAAGAUAAUGACGGUACCUGACUAAGAAGCACCGGCUAAAUACGUGCCAGCCGCGGC